rnacentral:rRNA from 1 species
UACGUAGGGUGCAAGCGUUGUCCGGAAUUAUUGGGCGUAAAGCGCGCGUAGGCGGCUUUGCAAGUCGGGUGUGAAAUCCCCAGGCUUAACCUGGGAACUGCAUUCGAGACUGCAUUGCUAGAGUAUGGGAGGGGGAAGUGGAAUUUCCGGUGUAGCGGUGAAAUGCGUAGAUAUCGGAAGGAACAUCAGUGGCGAAAGCGGCAUCCUGGACCGGCAUUGACGCUGAGGCGCGAAAGCCAGGGGAGCAAACGGG